UUGAAUUCUGAGGGGGAAAGGACUGUCGCUGGCUUUGAGCAUGUGCACGUCCGAUCUCUUUCUUUCAUUACACACCUGUGCACCUGUUGUAGAUUCUUCGAAAGAGGAUCUAUGUUCUUUUUUACACCAACAACACCUAUUGCAUGUCUAGAGAAUGUAUCUAUA
rnacentral:misc_RNA from 1 species